GGUUUAGAAAAGAAGAAAAAUUAUCUUUUAAUCAUUAGAGAAACAGAUUAUUACAUAGUAACGCGUGGAUUAUCGGAUUUAUCCAAUCUCGAUAGUUAAAUUAUCAAUUUUAAAGUCAUCGCCGAGGCUCGGACUUUAAAACUGAUAAUUUAACUAUCUCGAUUGGAUAAAUCCGAUAAUCCACUUGUAUCAAUGUAAUAAUCUAUAUUUAUC
rnacentral:lncRNA from 1 species